rnacentral:rRNA from 1 species
GAUGAACGCUGGCGGCGUGCCUAAUACAUGCAAGUCGAGCGAAUGGAUUAAGAGCUUGCUCUUAUGAAGUUAGCGGCGGACGGGUGAGUAACACGUGGGUAACCUGCCCAUAAGACUGGGAUAACUCCGGGAAACCGGGGCUAAUACCGGAUAACAUUUUGAACCGCAUGGUUCGAAAUUGAAAGGCGGCUUCGGCUGUCACUUAUGGAUGGACCCGCGUCGCAUUAGCUAGUUGGUGAGGUAACGGCUCACCAAGGCAACGAUGCGUAGCCGACCUGAGGGAGUGAGCGGCCACACUGGGACUGAGACACGGUCCAGACUCCUACGGGAGGCAGCAGUAGGGAAUCUUCCGCAAUGGACGAAGGUCUGACGGAGCAACGCCGCGUGAGUGAUGAAGGCUUUCGGGUCGUAAAACUCUGUUGUUAGGGAAGAACAAGUGCUAGUUGAAUAAGCUGGCACCUUGACGGUACCUAACCAGAAAGCCACGGCUAACUACGUGCCAGCCGCCGCAGUAA